rnacentral:rRNA from 1 species
UUGAAUGCUGGCGGCAGGCCUAACACAUGCAAGUCGAGCGGAUGACGGGAGCUUGCUCCUUGAUUCAGCGGCGGACGGGUGAGUAAUGCCUAGGAAUCUGCCUGGUAGUGGGGGACAACGUUUCGAAAGGAGCGCUAAUACCGCAUACGUCCUACGGGAGAAAGCAGGGGACCUUCGGGCCUUGCGCUAUCAGAUGAGCCUAGGUCGGAUUAGCUAGUUGGUGGGGUAAUGGCCCACCAAGGCGACGAUCCGUAACUGGUCUGAGAGGAUGAUCAGUCCCACUGGAACGGAAACACGGUCCAGACUCCUACGGGAGGCAGCAGUGGGGAAUAUUGGACAAUGGGCGAAAGCCUGAUCCAGCCAUGCAGCGUGUGUGAAGAAGGUCUUCGGAUCGUAAAGCACUUUAAGUUGGGAGGAAGAGCAUUAAGUUAGUACCUAGCUGUUUUGACGUUACCGACAGAAUAAGCACCGGCUAACUCUGUGCCAGCCGCCGCAGUAAAAC